GGUUCGAUUAUGGCUCAGGAUGAACGCUGGCGGCGUGCUUAACACAUGCAAGUCGAACGAACCUUCGGGUUAGUGGCGGACGGGUGAGUAACGCGUGAGAAUCUGCCCUCAGGAGGGGGAUAACGGUUGGAAACGACCGCUAAUACCCCAUAUGCCGCGAGGCGAAAUGAAUUUCGCCUGAGGAUGAGCUCGCGUCUGAUUAGUUAGUUGGUGGGGUAAAGGCCUACCAAGACAUCGAUCAGUAGCUGGUCUGAGAGGAUGAUCAGCCACACUGGGACUGAGACACGGCCCAGACUCCUACGGGAGGCAGCAGUGGGGAGUUUUCCGCAAUGGGCGAAAGCCUGACGGAGCAACGCCGCGUGAGGGAUGAAGGCCUCUGGGCUGUAAACCUCUUUUAUCAAGGAAGAAGAUCUGACGGUACUUGAUGAAUAAGCCACGGCUAAUUCCGUGC
rnacentral:rRNA from 1 species